UGAUGGUAAAAAACUAAAGUGAUUAUUUAAAAAAUUAAGUCAAUGCGUCUAAUGAACAACUAUUUUCAGGCCAAUGAAACUACCAGCAACUAAGCAUUUCAGUACCCAAACAUGAGUGACCAUAAACAGGAAAAGGGACCUUCAUUCACCAAAAGUUCCUUCAAUUUAAUUUCAUACUCGGCAGAUUUUUGAGAGAUAUCUUUGAGCUGUGGAAAAGCAAAUAAGUGUAACAUACAGGUAUAGAUAUCAACACAAUUCAAAUAUUUAUACUGAUGCUUCAUAAACCGGACCAGCUAAAACCAAUUAUAAUCAUUGAAUGCAGAUCUUAUCAAUGGCUAAGGUCCGAAAACGCAUUUAUCAGAUUCAGAAAUUGACCUACAAAAACAGAUGGAAUCAAAAACAAUGAAUAAAAUACAAUUACCAAAACUAAAAAAGGGAAACUUCAACAAGAAAAUAAGGAACCACGUGGACAAAAGGCUAGAUUGCACUAUACUAAGAUAUCUGCAUUUCUUCUGGAGGCGUCAAAAGAAUACCUGCACAUAUUGUACUUGCAUGCUACAGACCUGAAUGAAAACAACAUUAAAUGUUCCGUGAACGAUUUAUAAAAUUUAGAGAGAAAAUGUUAAACCCGAUGAUAAAUUACAUAUGUAUUUAACUCAUUAGUAAGACUAUACAUCCCAAAAUCUCACUAGUUUUUUCCAGCCAUCUGGCAAGAAAAAAUCAAAAUUUUUAGGAUUGAAAUAACUCUGUUAUGAAGAGGAUAAUUAAUUAACCAAACUGAAGGAAGGUGUUCCACAGAUCGCAGAAAGAUUUUUCCUUCCUUAAAGUUUUUGGCAAAAAUACCUCCUCCUGAGACUAUGACUCCCUCUCCCCCAUUGAUAUUGAUGACCAGAGUGUGAUAUCAUGUAUCUCUGUUCAAGACAUUGCAGAUUUUCUAAAAUUAUUUAUUCAUUCUUUGAAAAACUAGCUGAAGUAAUUUCCUAAAAACUUCUUUGAUUUUUCUUCUCUGCUAGCAAGAUGUUCUGCAUUAAUUUCAAGCGAUACAGUAUGCAUGUUUCUCUUUAAAAAAUCAAAUGGGAGCAAAAAUUUUGAAACAUUGCGAUAGAGAUAAGUGAUAUUGCACUUCGGCCAUCAAUGUGUGAUUCUAUUAAUAUGAUUGAUAAUUUUAACUACAUAGCUCUUUGGCAUAGUGCUGAUAAUAUAGCCCUCCACAGUAAAUAGAGCAGAUCUCAAACAGCUGUUUUCAAAGAAUUUUCUGCCUUUUUAUAUAGGAAGAAGUAUUCCAAACAAUGAAUUGCAAAU